AGUAGAUGAAGAAUCACCCCUAUAUUGGGGGCCACUACUCUAGCGUUUUCGAAAAAAUCGCUUUUGAAAUUUCGGAAAUUUUUUGUAUUAUUUAAAUAGCGAACGCUCGGGUAUUCGACUAUAUGUUGUUGUGGCGUAGUGGCUACGUCGGGAUUCCGACGGUCUGAGGAUGUAUAAACCUGAAAAAAUCUUUUUCCAGGUUUUAAAUUAACUGUCAUUGGAUUCAAAAUAUACGACAGCGACACUAUAUCACGUGAUACCAACACAUCUCACCAUCGAAAGUUGACUUGUAACUUGUAAGUGGAAACAUUCUACGCAUGUGCAAAAUCAGUUUGAGUAGGCACGUGGAUGAAAACAACAAUCAGUUCCAUGCGAAGGAAGAUUUCGGUAGUGGUUAAUCUGUUCGCCGCCGUUUUUCGUCUUAUAAGUGAAAUAUGUUAGACGACGAUUACAUUCUGUAUUAUUUAUUAGAUAGCGUGGAAGAGUUUUUUGAUCAUGAUGGAAGUUUCAAAGAAAUUAAAUAUUCUUUUUUAAGUUAAGUGCUAUUGGAUUUGAAAUGUGACGACACGACAGCGACGUUUCAAAUAAAUAUGCCACUAUUGGAUUUGAGAUAUGACGAUGGGGAUGCUGGAUCAUGUGACCGACAUCUUACCAUCAAAAUGACUGAAGUUGAAGACAUUCUGCGCAUGCGUGAAAAAUCGCUGAACGCACGCCGUCCUUGCGAUGCAGGGAUCCUGGCGACACGACGCGAAGGCCAUUGCGACGAGACGCGCUUAGGAGAGCAGCCACCAUCGCAGGAAGUGACGUCACGAAAGGUAAA
rnacentral:lncRNA from 1 species